rnacentral:rRNA from 1 species
GUGCACGCUCUGUUUACACAUCCACUCACACCUGUGCACCCUCCGUAGUUCUAUGGUCUGGGGGACCCUGUCUUCCUGCCGUGGUUCUACGUCUUUACACACACUCUGUAAUAAAGUCUUAUGGAAUGUAUGCCGCGUCUAACGCAAUACAAUACAACUUUCAGCAACGGAUCUCUUGGCUCUCGCAUCGAUGAAGAACGCAGCGAAAUGCGAUAAGUAAUGUGAAUUGCAGAAUUCAGUGAAUCAUCGAAUCUUUGAACGCACCUUGCGCCCCUUGGCUAUUCCGAGGGGCAUGCCUGUUUGAGUAUCAUGAACACCUCAACUCUCAUGGUUCGCCAUGAUGAGCUUGGACUCUGGGGGUUUUGCUGGCCUGCGGUCGGCUCCCCUCAAAUGAAUCAGCCUCCCAGUGUUUGGUGGCAUCGCGGGUGUGAUAAAUAUCUACGCUCGCGGUUGUCUGCCAGGUAACCUUUGGUGACAAAGGUUUGCUGGAGCUCACAGAUGUCUCUCCUCGGCGAGGACAGCUUUUUUGAACGUUCGAUCUCAAAUCAGGUAGGACUACCCCGCUGAACUUAAGCAUAUCAAUAAGGCGGAG